AUCUGCCUGGCUCCCUGGAUGCCAACUAAGAAACUUUGUCAAUGGAAAUUGACACUUUCUAGUUGGCAUCAGAGGAGUCAAGCAGGU
rnacentral:pre_miRNA from 1 species